rnacentral:rRNA from 1 species
CCUACGGGGGGCAGCAGUGGGGAAUAUUGCACAAUGGGCGCAAGCCUGAUGCAGCCAUGCCUCGUGUGUGAAGAAGGCCUUCGGGUUGUAAAGCACUUUCAGCGGGGAGGAAGGCGGUGAGGUUAAUAACCUCAUCGAUUGACGUUACCCGCAGAAGAAGCACCGGCUAACUCCGUGCCAGCAGCCGCGGUAAUACGGAGGGUGCAAGCGUUAAUCGGAAUUACUGGGCGUAAAGCGCACGCAGGCGGUCUGUCAAGUCGGAUGUGAAAUCCCCGGGCUCAACCUGGGAACUGCAUUCGAAACUGGCAGGCUAGAGUCUUGUAGAGGGGGGUAGAAUUCCAGGUGUAGCGGUGAAAUGCGUAGAGAUCUGGAGGAAUACCGGUGGCGAAGGCGGCCCCCUGGACAAAGACUGACGCUCAGGUGCGAAAGCGUGGGGAGCAAACAGGAUUAGAUACCCGAGUAGUC